AUUGAACGCUGGCGGCAGGCCUAACACAUGCAAGUCGAACGAGUGGCGGACGGGUGAGUAAUGUCUGGGAAACUGCCUGAUGGAGGGGGAUCACUACUGGAAACGGUAGCUAAUACCGCCUACCAUCGGAUGUGCCCAUAUGGGAUUAGCUAUGAGGUGGGGUAAAGGCUCACCUAGGCGACGAUCCCUAGCUGGUCUGAGAGGAUGACCAGACACACGGGAACUGGGACACGGUCCAGACGCCUACGGGAGGCAGCAUGGGGGAAUAUUGCACAAUGGGCGCAAGCCUGAUGCAGCCAGGCCGCGUGUAUGAAGAAGGCCGUCGGGUUGUAAAGUACUUUCAGCGGGGAGGCGUUACCCGCAGAAGAAGCACCGGCUAAAUCCAUGCCAGCAGCCGCGGUAAUAC
rnacentral:rRNA from 1 species